AAGAGACGUUGCCCUUCGGGGCAUACCUCCCACCCUUUGUUUAUUAUACCUUUGUUGCUUUGGCGGGCCCGUCCUCGGACCACCGGCUUCUGCUGGUCAGUGCCCGCCAGAGGACCUAAAACUCUGUUUGUUAAUAUUGUCUGAGUACUAUAUAAUAGUUA
rnacentral:misc_RNA from 1 species